AUUGAACGCUGGCGGCAGGCCUAACACAUGCAAGUCGAGCGAGCGGCGGACGGGUGAGUAAUGUCUGGGAAACUGCCCGAUGGAGGGGGAUAACUACUGGAAACGGAAGCUGAUACCGCAUACCAUCAGAUGUGCCCAGGUGGGUUUGGCUAGUAGGUGGGGUAACGGCUCACCUAGGCGACGAUCCCUAGCUGGUUUGAGAGGAUGACCAGCCACACUGGAACUUGGAGACGGUCCAGACGCCUACGGGAGGCAGCAGUGGGGAAUAUUGCACAAUGGGCGCAGGCCUGAUGCAGCCCUGCGGGGUGUGUGAAGAGGGCCUUCGGGUUGUAAGGCACUUUCAGCGGGGAGGCGUUACCCGCAGAAGAAGCACCGGCUAACUCCGUGCCAGCAGCCGCGGUAAUUC
rnacentral:rRNA from 1 species